AGACCCGAAACCCGGUGAUCUAGCCAUGGGCAGGUUGAAGGUUGGGUAACACUAACUGGAGGACCGAACCGACUAAUGUUGAAAAAUUAGCGGAUGACCUGUGGCUGGGGGUGAAAGGCCAAUCAAACCGGGAGAUAGCUGGUUCUCCCCGAAAGCUAUUUAGGUAGCGCCUCGUGAAUUCAUCUCCGGGGGUAGAGCACUGUUUCGGCUAGGGGGCCAUCCCGGCUUACCAACCCGAUGCAAACUGCGAAUACCGGAGAAUGUUAUCACGGGAGACACACGGCGGGUGCUAACGUCCGUCGUGAAGAGGGAAACAACCC
rnacentral:rRNA from 1 species